CUCAGACAGCCAGGAUGUUGGCUUAGAAGCAGCCAUCAUUUAAAGAAAGCGUAAUAGCUCACUGGUCGAGUCGGCCCGCGCGGAAGAUGUAACGGGGCUAAACCAUGCACCGAAGCUGCGGCAGCGAACGUAUCACUUAAAUUUGUUUGAGUGAAUAACGAUUGACGGAACGAAGUGACGUCAAUGCGUUAAUGAAAGUCGAGGUGAAAGCACGACAAAGCGAAUUUAAGGAUACGUUCGUUGGGUAGGGGAGCGUUCUGUAAGCCUGCGAAGGUGUACUGUGAGGUAUGCUGGAGGUAUCAGAAGUGCGAAUGCUGACAUAAGUAACGAUAAUGCGGGUGAAAAACCCGCACGCCGGAAGACCAA
rnacentral:rRNA from 1 species